rnacentral:lncRNA from 1 species
GUCAUCUUGUUUGGAGAAUGGGGGAGAACCGGAAGUCCUUACUCGCUCUUCCCCACCCAGCUCUCCUCAUGGCCAGUCAGCUUCUGAACCGUGCUCCUGGCUCAUCCUGGGAUCCCAUUCUGGCAACCAGGCCUGUUGUCUCUGGCUUGGGCAAGUGCCACACUCCCCUACCUUCUGAGCUGCCUGCCUUGCUUCUUUCAAGACUCAGCCUUACGGCUGCUUUUGCAGGGAGCGCACACCUGUCUGAGUUCCUGUGGCAGGCUUUUCAGUCGCCUUCUUAGGAAAUGGGCCAGCUUUGCAAGGCUGGCACACAAGCCUCUCUACAAAGCCUUUGCGUAGAAGCCCCCACACAAAGCCUGUCCAUCUGUGCCCUUGCCUCAGCUCACU